AUGACGUGGCCGAUCCGAGUGAUGCAUUCUUAUUGGAGGAAAUGGGUGAGCUGGCAUGAAAGGAGAAGACUCCGAAGGAAGCGGAGGGUUAGCGGUUAGAGUCUUCUCAGCUCAAGAUGGAGUAUUAAUAAAGGAAGAGAGUCGUUGUAGUUUCUUUAUGCUUUGUAUGUUGAGAGAAGACGAUAUGAGUCUCUUCACGAUCGCUAUGAGAUCGUAGGUGUUGAUCUAUAUCGCU
rnacentral:lncRNA from 1 species